AGUAGAAUAAAGAGGGAAGUGGAAUUAAGAGCAAGGGUUUUCAGGACAAAACCUCUCUCUCUGUUUCGGUGUGUGUGUGUGUGUGUGUGUGUGCGCGCACACACACACCUCAAUUGCAGAAUAGUUAAGUGUUCUUCCACUGAGGAAGUGGAGAGCCCAAGGCAGCUGUCAAGUUAGAUGGGAUGGACAGAACAAAUAGCUGAGUCUGCUUGAUGGGUAAUGCUGCCUUGCAGGGACGAUGGAUUGGAAGUUGUGCCAUGGGCUCCCUUGACCACACUGGCUUUCUCAGCCUCUUUUGUGUGCUGCUGUCAGCUUUAACUAUUUUCCCUCUGCAGACAGAAUGCCUUGGUUUUACUUAAGGGGCAGCAAAACCUCUUAUUUCCAAAGACAGUUUUAUCCAAUUGUAGUCUGACUCACAGCAGACCCCCUUAAGUCACGAAACAUGGCUAACGUAGGUUCAUUAAUCUCAUUGGGCCUACUCUAAGUAAAACGUAGUUGGAUACAGCCCAGAGUUUCCACCUUUUCUUCCCCAUGCUCUAUGGAAGGUCUGUGAUUUGUUUCUGAUAUUGCUUUGCUUUUCUGAGCAAUUUAUGUACAUGCAGGGUUCUUAGGUUUUCUCUCAGUGACAAAGCAGAUAUCCAAAUGAAUGCUUAUUAUUUUGAUGGGGGCAUGCAUGCUAAUUUGUUGCAGAUGGGAACAUGCAUCAGAAUGCAUCCCACACUGGUGGCAAAAAAACAGUGCUGGUGGAUCAAUGUGCUUGCAUUCACUUUCAGAUUAUUUUUUCAGUCUCCAUUUCCCAGAUAUCUGCCCUGCCCAACAAUAAGCAAAUGGGCUAGAAUCUAAUAUACAGUAGAUAUUAGUGGAUCAGCCAGUAGUGCUUUCUAUUAUUUUCUCGUUUCCAAUCUUAACUUCAGUUCUCCUAAUUUCCACAUCAAAUUCGUGGUUCUUUUUUUUUUAAAUAGCCCUAAUGAAAAUUCAUCAACAUUUCUCUUAAUAUCAUCAUUUGGGUGUGCAAUUUUCCCUAAUAUUCAGAGUUUUACAAAGCGGUUCCCCCUAACAUAAUGCAUUUUAACAUGUUGUUUUCACUAAUAUAUACUGUACAUCUUUAGGCACACAGGGGGCCUUUUUGUACACACUACUUGGCUGGAGAACUGCAUUGCAAAUUUUUUGGAGAAGUGCACAUUCUGAAGGAUGCCUAUUUUUCAGUUCACAUAUUGUUUCAGAAAAGUGCUAAUUAGGUAGGUUUGCCUUUAGAUGCAAACUGAAUCAAGUUCAAGUUCCAGCCGCAACAUCCCUGAGGAACCCUCUUUGAAAAUCUGAGACCUCCCAUCCUCAUGUCCUUAAGACCUAUCUGUUGCCACAUUCCGGGGAGUGGGUAGGUUGGGUUGGGAAGCCAAACUUGAGUGCUGCUUUCUUUUCCUGUUUCCCACCCCUGCCCUCUCUUGCUAACUCUCUUUUUUCUUUCUUUUUUAAAAAGCUCGCUCUCCUAAAUGAAAACUUUGCAAGCUGAGCUGCAAAUUGCUUGUUACUGUAAACUCUGCGUGCGUGCCAGCAAUGGCGCACACCAAACAACCCUCGAAUCACCUGAAUUAAUGAGCAGUAGGGAGAGGCAGGUUUUUAAGGUGGUUUUUUUUUUUUUUGCAUUGUGCUAAAUGCAUCCUCCCCAAGAGCCUGCUCACAUUAGCUCUGUUUGUUAAGUACUGUAUAUAGAGUUAAACACUUAAUAAAAUUACACUUCACGGGAGGCGAGACUGACGCGUCGGGUCCAAGGCCCGGAUUGUGUAAAGUGAUGUUUAGCAUAUAAACAUUAGCUGGCCUGGAGCACUCUUUUGUAAUUUUUGUUGUUUGCGUUUUCCUUGUUGAUGGUGUUUAAUAGGAAAGAAACAAGCUACCCACCCACCCACUGCUUCUUUCCAAAAUGACUUCCGUGGACGGCUUGUUCCCCCCCACUGGUUAUUUCAGUGUGCUGCUAAUGAGCUGCAUAAAUUUGCAUACUGAGAACCAAGGGUUGGGAUAUAUAGCUAGAGAGAGGUGUGCAUGCAUUUUAUGCAGAGUAUCUGUGAUUACAGAAUUGGAGCUGUGAGCACCUGUCUCUUUGGACUACAGAGUGUGAAACCAUGGCCCUCCAGAUGCUGCUGGAUUCCCACCAUCCCUGACCACUAGGUCAUUCUGGGUGGGGCUUAUAGGAUUUGGAGUCUUAACAGCAUUUUUUUUUCCUUACAGGGGGAAGGGCACAGAUUCCCCACUCUUGGGGCACUUGGUCUGUUCCAGAAAUGUGACUUCUCCCACCUAGCCUUUAUUACUGUCCGCCUGUGCUCUCCAUUAGAUCCUGCCUGAGUUGCCUGACAUUUUGCUGUUUUCCAAUAGAUUAAUGGUGUCGUCCUUGUUUCUUGUUGCAUUCCUUUUCUCUCUCUCCCUUAUUUUAUUUUACUUCAUUUCCCCUUCUUCAAUCUAGGACAGUUCCUCUUUGCGUCUGUGCUGAUCUUGGCACAACUGCCUUGUGCAAAGCUCUGCAGAGGAAUAGUGAGGUUACCUGAGGGCCAGGGUACCACUCUGUUGCUUGGAAAUACAUGACAAGGUGUCCCCUUGUUAACUAGGCUUACUCGUGGGCAGGCAUACUAGUGGCAGACUUGGGGCUGCCAAAUUUCAGCAGUGCCCUGUGUGAUGCUAAAAUUCAGCCUCUCCCACUCCAUUCUACAGCAUUGUUUCUGCAGCGCAGUGCCCUGCGUGACCACACCAGUCGCACUACACUAAAACCACCUUUGGGCACACCAGCUUUCCAUUUCAACCAGAAAGCUAAGAAGACAGUGUUCCGUUGCAGUUGGUUUAUUUGCUUUAAAGAGACUGAUGGAAGGCACGCUCUAAUUUUACACCCAACAAGAACCGUGGGAGGUUUUUUUAGUACAUGCCUAGCUUGGCAUGGUGAAAUCCCUUGCCUGUGUUUCCACGACACCUCAUCUAGUUCUUUCUCCCAGUUAAGGUAUCCACCCUAUUUAAAAUAUUUUCAAGGCAACUUACACAGUUUAAGAUGAAACAAUACACUAUCUGGGGUCGCUAGACUGCAACCUAGGUUGCUUCCAGAUGUGGUCUUAAUUUGCAAACGGAUCAUUUGCAAGUUUUUAAAAUACAAAAAAACACUUAAUAUUUUCCCUGGAAAGAGUAAAUCCAGAUUAAAUGGGGGGUGGAGGUGGGGUAAAAUGAGCUGGGAUUUUGAGGCAAAUUACACUGUACAGAUGCUGCAAGGGGAAAAAAACCUCUGCAUGUGUGAGGAGCACCAACGUCACAAUAAACACGUCUGGAAAUACCCCUAGAGAAGCAGUAUUUGCCUUGAACUUUUACCAUGUACAUCAUACAUAGAUCUGCAGUAUAAAAAAAAGAAGUCCGGAUUCUUCUAAAUUUGAGCUCCCAACACAGAUAAGCACUAGAGCUUUAUGAAACUGAAAAAAAAAACCCCACAGGCUUCCUUGGACGUAUUAGGAAAGUGCCUUAUCUCACUUUAUUUCCUAACCUGUGACAUGUAUAUUGCUAUACAUAGCAAUAGAUGGGGACUAGAAUCUUGCAUUGCUGGAACAUCGGGUAUUAAAUGUAAGCCUGCUAUAGGCCAUUAUGAUAGGAACACACCUCUAUCCCUGGUUUUCUGUGCAUAGCACUGGCAAUUUUAGAGCAGAAAACAAUUUCAAUGUGAUACAGGAAGUGCCAAUAAGGACUGUGUUAGAAGAUGCUGCAAAAGUCAGUUAAGCCAAAGGCACUGUGGGAUAAAUUGGUAAAUCUAGAGGGGAACUGCAACCCUGAAAGGGAUGCGUUGCUCAUUGCGGGAGUUGAUGGACACAAAUGCCAUUCUGCUGAUAAUUGGCCAGGCUUUUAAUGUUUUCCCUUUUCUGAGUGUUCAUUGCCCACCCUGCUUCCUCAGUCACUUUGUUUUGUCACAAGCCCCUUGAAGUGCAUUUUUCCCUCCCCUGAACAGUUAUUGUUGCUAUUAAGGAAUGCCGGGCUGUCAGAGAGCCCCGCUGGCCAGGAGAAGGAAUCCCACUGAAAGAUGCCUCUAAUGGCGUGUUUAUUGCCUUGCUCCCCAGUUAGCCAGCUAAUCCCAUUUAUUGCCAUUUGCAGAAAUUAAGGGGUUGAAACACUGCACAUUCUUGUACACAGCAGAAGGCGUGCAAAAAGAGAGAAGCUGCAUGUCGAAUGACACCUAAAGUGACUUCUAAUUACUUUCCUCCAUGAGUUUGUUUUGCUUGUCAAGAUCAGGAUCUUGGAGUGGGGGAAUGCUUUAAAUUCUACCCAAACCUAACUAGAGGUCAGGCCUGCACAACUUGCAACCCAGCAAGUCAAACAGUGGCAACUGGUCACUGCUGGAUCUGGGGGGGCGGGGGGGGCAAGGGGCCCACCAGAGGUGGAUCCAACUGGUUAUGUCCCCCUCACGUUCUCUUGCCUUCCAAAGGUACUGUACUGUGGGUGCUUAAGUAACACAGUUACUUGAAACACAGUUUCCUGGCUGUAUAUGGUGGCCCACAAGGAACUUUUAAAUUAUCGUUUUUGCUGCCUACUCUGGACUAUAAAAAUGGGUGCGAAGGUGGUGUUGGGUUCAAGACCCUGGCAGGUCACUUUAUGUAACUGCUAGGCGACAUUUGGUAUGAAGUUGUUCCAACCCUGGCCUAGGGCUUAUGUUGGGGGCUUUUCUUUCCUGGAGUGAAUUUAUUGAGGAGGGAAGUAUAUCCCCUUUGCCUGGUGCUACAGAAUUGCCCAUCCAGUGAUAUGUGGGGAGAAGUAUUUUCUCUCAGGACUUGAAGAAAUACUUAAAUAUUAAUGGCAAGAUGUAAAUUAAGAUGUAAAUAUUAAUGGCAAGAUGUAAAUUAAGAUGUAAAUAUUAAUGGCAAGAUGUAAAUUAAAAGGGCUCCCAUAAGGGGGAAACUUCUUCAAUGGGGCCCUAUUUCCAAAAAUCUUUGCUGAACCAGAGCUAAGGUUCAUCUCACUCAACAUCCUCAUUCAAAUGGUGGCCAGCCCAAUGCUUUUGAGAAGCACAUUUUGUGCUUAGCCUCUGGCGCUCAUAAGAUAUGCUACCUUUACAAAUGGAGGUUCCACACAACUAUCAUGCUUAAUAGUUCUUGAUGGACUUAUCCUCCAUCUGUUUUCCCCUCCCCUUCCUUGCUUCGUGACACUUUCCAGCUAAGUAAUGGGUUGUAUCCACCUAAGUCAUUCUUUGAGUGGACCCACUCUACUGUUAGUUGGGACUUAGAUGGAUGUGACCCAGUUCCUCACCACACCCAUCCAUCCCAAAAGUCUUGUGGGCCUCUUUAAUCUACAUCUGCACUUUUGGGGGGACAAACAUGUGCAAACCUGACCAUCAUGUGGAACAGCAAAGCUCUCUCCUACGAAUUCAGACCAGUGGUCCAUCAACCAGAUUCAAAGAUGCACCUCCCCAAGUUUCUCCAAACUUUCCCAGCCCUUUUCCUGAAAGUGCACCACCGGCAAUACUGGGGAUCAGAUCCAGGAGCCUCACACAGACUCGGGAUACGUGCAUUACUGCUCAUUUCACAGCCCCUUUCUUGUCUCUCAUCCUCCCAGCAAUUCACAAGAUCUGAAAAACUCAGUCAGGCAGACAUGCAGGUUGUCAUACUGGCUCAACUAUAGCAAGUGGCAAAACUUUAGGUGUUCAAACACAGGGUGGAUGUGGGUUUGAAUUUCCUUUAAGCCUCCUGAUUUGAGCAGGAGAAUCUCUUAUACUAACACCUCUGCAACUUUUGAAUCUGCUCUUGGGCAGGGGAAGAAC